rnacentral:misc_RNA from 1 species
UCCGGUUUGUCACCGGCAGUCUCGCAUGAGUCCCCAACUAAAUGCUGGCAACAUGCGACAGGGGUUGCGCUCGUUGCGGGACAUAACCCAACAUCUCACGACACGAGCUGACGACAGCCAUGCAGCACCUGUGUCCAGGCUCCCUUUCGGGCACACACGACUCUCAUCGAGCUCCCUGGCAUGUCAAGGGUAGGUAAGGUUCUUCGCGUUGCAUCGAAUUAAUCCACAUCAUCCACCGCUUGUGCGGGUCCCCGUCAAUUCCUUUGAGUUUUAGCCUUGCGGCCGUACUCCCCAGGCGGAGUGCUUAACGCGUUGGCUGCGACACCGCGGGGGUCAAUACCCACAGCAUCUAGCACUCAUCGUUUACGGCGUGGACUAC